rnacentral:rRNA from 1 species
ACUCAAAGGAAUAGACGGGGGCCCGCACAAGCGGUGGAGCAUGUGGUUUAAUUCGAUGCAACGCGAAAAACCUUACCUACCCUUGACAUCCUCGGAAUCUCUCAGAGAUGAGAGAGUGCCUUCGGGAACCGAGAGACAGGUGAUGCAUGGCUGUCGUCAGCUCGUGUCGUGAGAUGUUGGGUUAAGUCCCGUAACGAGCGCAACCCCUAUCCUUAGUUGCUAGCAGUUCGGCUGAGCACUCUAAGGAGACUGCCGGUGAUAAACCGGAGGAAGGUGGGGAUGACGUCAAGUCAUCAUGUCCCUUACGGGUAGGGCUACACACGUGCUACAAUGGGCAGUACAGAGGGUUGCGAAGCCGCGAGGUGGAGCUAAUCCCAUAAAGCUGUUCGUAGUCCGGAUUGGAGUCUGCAACUCGACUCCAUGAAGUUGGAAUCGCUAGUAAUCGCAAAUCAGCAUGUUGCGGUGAAUACGUUCCCGGGCCUUGCACACACCGCCCGU